GUGCUUUGCAGGGAUAUUUUCACUCUGGCUCUGGCAGGAGAGCUCUGACACAGCCCUGCUGUCGGCAGCGCUCGCUCAACGACGCCUCCUGAGAUCCCAAAACUCCAAAAAAAAAAGGGGGAAACGGCCAAUUUUCAUUUCCUCAGCACCAAGGUUCUGACUCUGCUCCUUGGGAACCUUCCUCAUCCAGAUCACAGGGAUUUCCAAAAUUGCAGCAUUCCCUCAAAGCUGAAAAUAAAUCUCCAGAAAUCUCUUGGAAAACUGAAGAUGAAUCUCCAAAAACCUCCUCCAAAGCUGAUGAUCACUACCAUUACUGAGCGGUGAGUGUUGGAAAUGCCUGGAAAAGCCAAGGUGAGCCCAAAAUCUGCUUUAAACCCCUGCCCCAAGCACUGACCCAGCCCAGCUCUGCUCCCCUCAGUCCCACCUCACCCUUUAAGCAGAGCUCAUCACCAAUAAUUAAUUAAUUAAACCAAAGCUCUUUCCCAGCCUUGUUCCCGUGCUGGCUGGGAGCAGAGCUGGCAGUGUGAAGUCAUUUUUGUGCCCUGUGUCAUCACGCUGAUGUCAGGGCUGCUGUCAGCACUGUCAGGGUGGUGUUUAUGAAGCUGGAGAUCGAUAUUAAAUAGUGGAUUUAGGAUCCAUUGGCACAGCUGCAGCUCGGGCUGCCUUUGACCUUCUUCGGCUGACAGGGAGCCAGAGGGGUUUUUCCAUGGCAUUAAGUUAAAGGAGUUUCCACUGCCCAGCUUUCUGCUCUGCCUUCACCAUAUCACUGUCCCAGCUCUUACUGGGAAUCAUAAAAAAAGAUUUCUCAGAGGAAAUAAUAAAAAUUGAUGGAAGAAAUCUCCA
rnacentral:lncRNA from 1 species